UACGAAGGGUGCAAGCGUUACUCGGAAUUACUGGGCGUAAAGCGUGCGUAGGCGGUUUGUUAAGUCUGUCGUGAAAGCCCCGGGCUCAACCUGGGAAUGGCGAUGGAUACUGGCGAGCUAGAGUACGGUAGAGGAGAGUGGAAUUCCCGGUGUAGCAGUGAAAUGCGUAGAGAUCGGGAGGAACACCAGUUGCGAAGGCGGCUCUCUGGACCAGUACUGACGCUGAGGCGCGAAAGCGUGGGGAGCAAACAGG
rnacentral:rRNA from 1 species